rnacentral:rRNA from 1 species
UACGUAGGGGGCUAGCGUUGUCCGGAUUUAUUGGGCGUAAAGAGCGUGUAGGCGGCCAGGUAGGUCUGCUGUGAAAACUCGAGGCUUAACCUCGAGAUGUCGGCGGAAACCAUCUGGCUAGAGUCCGGAAGAGGAGAGUGGAAUUCCUGGUGUAGCGGUGAAAUGCGCAGAUAUCAGGAAGAACACCCGUGGCGAAGGCGGCUCUCUGGGACGCAACUGACGCUGAGACGCGAAAGCGUGGGGAGCAAACAGG